CAUGGUGUGCAGCGUUGCCCUUGUGAGCAAUCUCUGAUGCUACUGAUGUUUAUAUAUGUAUUACUUAUGACACUAGGAUUCAAUCCUCACCGAAGAUUGAAUUCCAUCUUCUUGGUUAGAAUGCACAAAGGAUUUGAAUUGUGAAUCUUGCAAGGACAUUUAUUUUGUGAAAUUUAACAUGACUAAUUUGAGACCAGCAAAGAGGAUUGGGCCCGAAGAAAUGCUGAUAUUGAGCUAGGUUCGCAAGGCGAUAUGUCGAGCUCUGUGUAGCCUGCUUUCAAUGGCUUAUUUAAACAGCUCUGUGCUAUCAUAGAAUUCAGCUUAGGGAGAUCAAGAAGAUGUUUCAUAUGUCAGCACAACUACUGGAGGAUUUGCAGGUGAGGAACUAUUAUAUGAGUUUGGAUGACCAAAUAUUAGUAGUACAUCAAAAUCUACGGCUUUAUAUAGUUUGUCACAUACUGUCUUAUUUCAUAUAUGAUGACCAUAUCAAUCAAGUGUUUGUUAUUUUUCAUUCAGAGUGUACAUUGAUUCCAGUGUAGCAAGAACAGAAAAUAAGGUGUCGUCGGUGAAAAGAAGCAUGCCCAAAUUUGUAAGCCCAUAUUGUGCCACAUGGAACUUUCUCUAUCAGUUCAGGCUGGAUGGGCAAGACGACAUACUGCAGACCGGGACCAAGAGUUAUGUUCAUUAUCAGUGAUAUGUGUUAAUACUCUCCUAGAGAUUGAUUUUUUUGCGAUCGCAAAAAAAGGAGCCAGAUACAUGGCGAGCUUCCAAAUAUCAAGUUGCAAGUACCUUCGUUGCUUUGGACCUUGCCAUGGAAGGAUGAACACUAAAUGACCACAAAAUGCCUCUAGAUUAU